AUUGAACGCUGGCGGCAUGCCUUACACAUGCAAGUCGAACGGUAACAGGUUAAGCUGACGAGUGGCGAACGGGUGAGUAAUGUAUCGGAACGUGCCCAGUCGUGGGGGAUAACUACUCGAAAGAGUGGCUAAUACCGCAUACGACCUGAGGGUGAAAGCGGGGGACCGUAAGGCCUCGCGCGAUUGGAGCGGCCGAUAUCAGAUUAGCUAGUUGGUGGGGUAAAAGCCCACCAAGGCGACGAUCUGUAGGUUGUCUGAGAGGACGACCAGCCACACUGGGACUGAUACACGGCCCAGACUCCGACGGUAAGCAGCAGUGGGAAAUUUUGGACAAUUGACGCAAGUCUUAUCCAGCCAUGCCGCGUGCGGGAAGAAGGCCUUCGGGUUGUAAACCGCUUUUGUCAGGGAAGAAACGAAUUUCUCUAAUACAGAGACUUAAUGACGGUACCUGAAGAAUAAGCACCGGCUAACUACGUGCCAGCCGCCGCAGUAAUAC
rnacentral:rRNA from 1 species